UGGUCUCAAGAUAAACCUAAUAUUCCUUUCCUCACUUUCAAGUUUGGUUGGGAGGCAAUGGAACUUCUGUGUUCUAUUCUGUGCCCAAAGUCCAUGAAUGGUGGAAUGGUCUUUACUACUCGCAGAUUCUUUUUUUACUGCUUCAAAACGACCAAUUGGAAGAAUCACUGUACACCUCCAUAUGAUGUAAAACCUUGUCCGCUGCUCCCGGAUCAGUCGCGAACACCGUUGCCCCAACUGGAACCUUGGAAAACGCAUCCAUACUGACUGUCUUGCCAUCCUGAUCAUGUAGAGAAGAGAAGGAUUUUUUUGGGGGUGUAUAUAUAUGUAUAACUUUUGGGAAGUUUUAAGUACUUUGAAACACAGGCUUGUUGUAUGUAUAUAUAGAGGCUAAAGGGUGCAAGUGUUGACACUCAACUGUUGUCUCCUCAGUGGAUUGAUAUGGGCAGAGGACCCAUUAACUCAAAAAUGACAAAGCAGACUCAAUCAGAUUGUCUUCUUGACACUUCACCUGGAAAAGGACUUGUUACUGGUUAUCCUAAUCUGAAGGCCAUCCCUGUCUCUCUUGGAAUAUAUAAAUUUGUUCCUCUGUCUGUAUUAUCAGAUUUUCAGGGUUUGUUUGGAUCUACUCCUUCAAUUGUUUGUUAAGAAUAUCUAUCAAACUAUUUUGUAAAAAUCCCUUAGAAAGGCUCCCAUGAUUCCCGGCUUCA